CCUACGGGAGGCAGCAGUGGGGAAUAUUGGACAAUGGGCGAAAGCCUGAUCCAGCAAUGCCGCGUGAGUGAAGAAGGCCUUCGGGUUGUAAAGCUCUUUUACCCGGGAAGAUAAUGACCGUACCGGGAGAAUAAGCCCCGGCUAACUCCGUGCCAGCAGCCGCGGUAAUACGGAGGGGGCUAGCGUUGUUCGGAAUCACUGGGCGUAAAGCGUGCGUAGGCGGCCAUUCAAGUCAGAGGUGAAAGCCCAGGGCUCAACCCUGGAACUGCCUUUGAAACUAGGUGGCUGGAACACGGGAGAGGUGAGUGGAAUUCCGAGUGUAGAGGUGAAAUUCGUAGAUAUUCGGAAGAACACCAGUGGCGAAGGCGGCUCACUGGACCGUUGUUGACGCUGAGGCACGAAAGCGUGGGGAGCAAACAGGAUUAGAUACCCUGGUAGUCCACGCCGUAAACGAUGAUAACUAGCUGUUGGGGCUCUUUGAGCUCCAGUGGCGCAGCUAACGCAUUAAGUUAUCCGCCUGGGGAGUACGGCCGCAAGGUUAAAACUCAAAUGAAUUGACGG
rnacentral:rRNA from 1 species